GGCAUUUGCUUUUGUAUUUCCUGACUGUUUUGCAUGAGCCCCUCCAGCCCAACCCUACUGCUCAGAAUUUAUAAACCAGACUUUUACAGUGAGAAAUGAGUUACAUCAGACAGACAGGGGGAGCAAGAUGGAGUCACAGACCCAGGUCCUCAUGAUAUUGCUGUUCUGGGUAUCUGGUGCCUGUGCAGAUAUUGUGAUGACCCAGUCUUCAUCUUCACUGGCUGUGUCAGCAGGAGAGAAGGUCACCAUCAGCUGCAAGUCCAGUCAGAGUCUUUUAUACAGUGGAAACCAGAAGAACUACCUGGCCUGGUACCAGCAGAAACCAGGGCAGUCUCCUAAACUACUGAUCUACUGGGCAUCCACUCGGCACACUGGGGUUCCUGAUCGCUUCAUAGGCAGUGGGUCCGGAACAGAUUUCACUCUCACCAUUAGCAGUGUUCAGGCUGAAGAUGUGGCAGAUUACUACUGUCAGCAGUAUUACAGCUCUCCUCCCACAGUGCUUCAGCUUCCAACAAAAACCGCUUUUGAAAGUCUCAGCAGCUGUGUGCACCACAUAUAGACUUGGACCUUUGCA